GUUUUGUAAUUCAUUUUCUCUGGUUUUUUAAUUUUCGUUGGAUGUCUCUACUACUACAACCGAAGAGAUGACAAGAUCAACUGCAAGGAGAAAGCCGAAGAAUAUACAAGUUUUGGAAUUCAUUUUAUCUGGAUUUUUUUUUGUUGGAUCAAUUAAUAGUUCUCAGAAAUUGCUGACCGGAGUUUGAAGAGUAAGGCAACUUGUUCCAUGGCCACUACUUAUAGUGUUGGAGGAAUACUAAAAGACGACGUACAUAU